CGGGAUGUAGCGCAGUCCGGUUAGCGCAUCUGCUUUGGGAGCAGAGGGUCCCAGGUUCGAAUCCUGGUAUCCCGACAA
rnacentral:tRNA from 1 species